rnacentral:rRNA from 1 species
UACGUAGGGUGCAAGCGUUGUCCGGAAUUAUUGGGCGUAAAGAGCGUGUAGGCGGUCUGGUAGGUCCGUUGUGAAAACUCGAGGCUCAACCUCGAGACGCCGAUGGAAACCCUCAGACUAGAGUCCGGAAGAGGAGAGUGGAAUUCCUGGUGUAGCGGUGAAAUGCGCAGAUAUCAGGAGGAACACCGGUGGCGAAGGCGGUUCUCUGGGCCUUACCUGACACUGAGGAGCGAAAGCGUGGGGAGCGAACAGG